rnacentral:rRNA from 1 species
AUUGAACGCUGGCGGCAUGCCUUACGCAUGCAAGUCGAACGGUAACAGGCCGCAAGGUGCUGACGAGUGGUGAACGGGUGAGUAAUACAUCGGAACGUGCCCGAUCGUGGGGGAUAACGCAGCGAAAGCUGUGCUAAUACCGCAUACGAUCUACGGAUGAAAGCGGGGGAUCGCAAGACCUCGCGCGGACGGAGCGGCCGAUGGCAGAUUAGGUAGUUGGUGGGGUAAAGGCCUACCAAGCCGACGAUCUGUAGCUGGUCUGAGAGGACGACCAGCCACACUGGGACUGAGACACGGCCCAGACUCCUACGGGAGGCAGCAGUGGGGAAUUUUGGACAAUGGGCGCAAGCCUGAUCCAGCCAUGCCGCGUGCAGGAUGAAGGCCUUCGGGUUGUAAACUGCUUUUGUACGGAACGAAAAGGUUUCUUUUAAUACAGGGAACUGAUGACGGUACCGUAAGAAUAAGCACCGGCUAACUACGUGCCAGCCGCCGCCGUAA